rnacentral:lncRNA from 1 species
GCUGUGUUACUUUAGGUUGACUGGUCAUUAAGGCUGUGUGUGUUACUAUAUGUUGACUAGUCAUUAAGGCUGUGUUACUUUAGGUUGACUAGUCAUUAAGGCUGUGUUACUUUAGGUUGACUAGUCAUUAAGGCUGUUUUACUUUAGGUUGACUAGUCAUUAAGGCUGUGUUACUUUAGGUUGACUAGUCAUUAAGGCUGUGUUACUUUAGGUUGACUAGUCAUUAAGGCUGUGUUACUAUAGGUUGACUAGUCAUUAAAGCUGUGUGUUUUACUUUAGGUUGACUAGUCAUUAAGGCUGUGUGUGUUACUUUAGGUUGACUAGUCAUUAAGGCUGUGUGUUGUACUAUAGGUUGACUAGUCAUUAAGGCUGUGUUACUUUAGGUUGACUAGUCAUUAAGGCUGUGUUACUAUAGGUUGACUAGUCAUUAAGGCUGUGUGUGUUACUUUAGGUUGACUAGUCAUUAAGGCUGUGUUACUUUAGGUUGACUAGUCAUUAAGGUUGUGUGUGUUACUAUAGGUUGACUAGUCAUUAAGGCUGUGUUACUUUAGGUUGACUAGUCAUUAAGGCUUUGUUUGUUACUUUAGGUUGACUAGUCAUUAAGGCUGUGUUACUUUAGGUUGACUAGUCAUUAAGGCUGUGUUACUAUAGGUUGACUAGUCAUUAAGGAUGUGUGUUUUACUUUAGGUUGACUAGUCAUUAAGGCUGUGUUACUUUAGGCUGACUAGUCAUUAAAACUGUGUGUGUUACUUUAGGUUGACUAGUCAUUAAGGCUGUGUGUUUUACUUUAGGUUGACUAGUCAUUAAGGCUGUGUGUUUUACUUUAGGUUGACUAGUCAUUAAGGCUGUGUGUGUUACUAUAGGUUGACUAGUCAUUAAGGCUGUGUUACUUUAGGUUGACUGGUCAUUAAGGCUGUGUUUCUAUAGGUUGACUAGUCAUUAAGGAUGUGUUACUAUAGGUUGACUAAUCAUUAAGGCUGUGCUACUUUAGGUUGACUAGUCAUUAAGGCUGUGUUACUUUAGGUUGACUGGUCAUUAAGGCUGUGUGUUUUACUUUAGGUUGACUAGUCAUUAAGGCUGUGUGUUUUACUUUAGGUUGACUAGUCAUUAAGGCUGUGUGUGUUACUAUAGGUUGACUAGUCAUUAAGGCUGUGUUACUUUAGGUUGACUGGUCAUUAAGGCUGUGUUACUAUAGGUUGACAAGUCAUUAAGGCUGUGUUACUUUAGGUUGACUAGUCAUUAAGGCUGUGUUACUAUAGGUUGACUAGUCAUUAAGGCUGUGUUACUUUAGGUUGACUAGUCAUUAAGGCUGUGUUACUUUAGGCUGACUAGUCAUUAAGGCUGUGUUACUUUAGGUUGACUAGUCAUUAAGGCUGUGUGUGUUACUUUAGGUUGACUAGUCAUUAAGGCUGUGUGUGUUACUAUAGGUUGACUAGUCAUUAAGCCUGUGUUACUUUAGGCUGACUAGUCAUUAAAACUGUGUGUGUUACUUUAGGUUGACUAGUCAUUAAGGCUGUGUGUUUUACUUUAGGUUGACUAGUCAUUAAGGCUGUGUGUUUUACUUUAGGUUGACUAGUCAUUAAGGCUGUGUGUGUUACUAUAGGUUGACUAGUCAUUAAGGCUGUGUUACUUUAGGUUGACUGGUCAUUAAGGCUGUGUUACUAUAGGUUGACUAGUCAUUAAGGCUGUGUUACUUUAGGUUGACUAGUCAUUAAGGCUGUGUUACUUUAGGUUGACUGGUCAUUAAGGCUGUGUGUGUUACUAUAUGUUGACUAGUCAUUAAGGCUGUGUUACUUUAGGUUGACUAGUCAUUAAGGCUGUGUUACUUUAGGUUGACUAGUCAUUAAGGCUGUGUUGCUUUAGGUUGACUAGUCAUUAAGGCUGUGUUACUUUAGGUUGACUAGUCAUUAAGGCUGUGUUACUUUAGGUUGACUAGUCAUUAAGGCAGUGUGUUGUACUGUUGGUUGACUAGUCAUUAAGGCUGUGUGUUGUACUAUUGGUUGACUAGUCAUUAAGGCUGUGUUACUUUAGGUUGACUAGUCAUUAAGGCUGUGUGUUGUACUAUAGGUUGACUAGUCAUUAAGGCUGUGUUACUUUAGGUUGACUAGUCAUUAAGGCUGUGUUACUAUAGGUUGACUAGUCAUUAAGGCUGUGUGUUUUACUUUAGGUUGACUAGUCAUUAAGGCUGUGUUACUUUAGGUUGACUAGUCAUUAAGGCUGUGUUACUAUAGGUUGACUAGUCAUUAAGGCUGUGUUACUUUAGGUUGACUGGUCUAUAUUAUUAUAGUGUUCUAUAUUGUUAUAGUGUUCUAUAUUGUUAUAGUGUUCUAUAUUGUUAUAGUGUUCUGUAUUGUUCUAGUGUUCUAUAUUAUUAUAAUGUUCUAUAUUGUUAUAGUGUUCUAUAUUGUUAUAGUGUUCUAUAUUGUUAUAGUGUUCUAUAUUAUUAUAGUGUUCUAUAUUGUUGU